rnacentral:rRNA from 1 species
UACGUAGGGGGCAAGCGUUGUCCGGAUUUAUUGGGCGUAAAGAGCGUGUAGGCGGCUAGGUAGGUCCGUUGUGAAAACUCGAGCUCAACCUCGAGACGCCGGUGGAAACCAUCUAGCUAGAGUCCGGAAGAGGAGAGUGGAAUUCCUGGUGUAGCGGUGAAAUGCGCAGAUAUCAGGAAGAACACCCGUGGCGAAGGCGGCUCUCUGGGACGUGACUGACGCUGAGACGCGAAAGCUAGGGGAGCAAACGGG